rnacentral:rRNA from 1 species
AUUGAACGCUGGCGGCAUGCCUUACACAUGCAAGUCGAACGGCAGCGCGGACUUCGGUCUGGCGGCGAGUGGCGAACGGGUGAGUAAUACAUCGGAACGUACCCUGUUGUGGGGGAUAACUAGUCGAAAGAUUAGCUAAUACCGCAUACGACCUGAGGGUGAAAGUGGGGGACCGCAAGGCCUCACGCAGCAGGAGCGGCCGAUGUCUGAUUAGCUAGUUGGUGGGGUAAAGGCCCACCAAGGCGACGAUCAGUAGCUGGUCUGAGAGGACGAUCAGCCACACUGGGACUGAGACACGGCCCAGACUCCUACGGGAGGCAGCAGUGGGGAAUUUUGGACAAUGGGGGCAACCCUGAUCCAGCAAUGCCGCGUGUGUGAAGAAGGCCUUCGGGUUGUAAAGCACUUUUGUCCGGAAAGAAAUCGCGCUGGUUAAUACCUGGCGUGGAUGACGGUACCGGAAGAAUAAGCACCGGCUAACUACGUGCCAGCAGCCGCGGUAACAC